CUGCCGGUGUGAGUCCGGUCCGGGUAGCUGCCAGGUGGGCCCGGUAGCAGGCUGGCGGUCUCGUGUGGAAACGUGCGGGGUCGAAUCGUAUCGUCCCGCAAGGACGCGCUCGUGCGACGUGUGCGAGUUGACUGCUUGCCGGAA
rfam:Gordonia rhizosphera NBRC 16068 DNA, contig: GORHZ150.